CGGUCAAAUUCAUCCUUCAUGAGAGCGCACCCCAGGUACUGGCGUUUCAGUGUGUAGUAGAUGCCAACCCCACUCCAACAGAGUUCACAUGGAAGAGACUGAAUAGAUCAAAUCUCAGCGAGACUGGGGGCUUGUUGGAGUUAGAGAAGGUGGGCUCUGACUUCAGUGGUCUGUACAGCUGUGAGGUGUCCAACCCAUACGGAGCAGCAUCUGGUUUCCUGUAUGUGCAUAAAGUUGAUCAGCGCUCCAUUGCACCAGUAGCCUUGUGGAUUUUCCUCCCCCUCCUCCUCCUCUGCGUUGUAGUUGUC